GACGGAGGAUGCAAGUGUUAUCCGGAAUCACUGGGCGUAAAGCGUCUGUAGGUGGUUUAAUAAGUCAACUGUUAAAUCUUGAGGCUCAACCUCAAAAUCGCAGUCGAAACUAUUAGACUAGAGUAUAGUAGGGGUAAAGGGAAUUUCCAGUGGAGCGGUGAAAUGCGUAGAGAUUGGAAAGAACACCGAUGGCGAAGGCACUUUACUGGGCUAUUACUGACACUCAGAGACGAAAGCUAGGGUAGCAAAUGGGAUUAGAUACCCCAGUAGUCCUAGCUGUAAACUAUGGAUACUAGAUGUUGAACAGAUCGACCUGUGCAGUAUCAAAGCUAACGCGUUAAGUAUCCCGCCUGGGAAGUAUGCUCGCAAGGGUG
rnacentral:rRNA from 1 species